UGGGGAAUAUUGGACAAUGGGCGAAAGCCUGAUCCAGCAAUGCCGCGUGAGUGAUGAAGGCCUUAGGGUUGUAAAGCUCUUUUACCCGGGAUGAUAAUGACAGUACCGGGAGAAUAAGCUCCGGCUAACUCCGUGCCAGCAGCCGCGGUAAUACGGAGGAGCUAGCGUUGUUCGGAAUUACUGGCGUACGCGCACGUAGGCGGCUUUGUAAGUUAGAGGUGAAAGCCUGGAGCUCAACUCCAGAAUUGCCUUUAAGACUGCAUCGCUCGAAUCCAGGAGAGGUGAGUGGAAUUCCGAGUGUAGAGGUGAAAUUCGUAGAUAUUCGGAAGAACACCAGUGGCGAAGGCGGCUCACUGGACUGGUAUUGACGCUGAGGUGCGAAAGCGUGGGGAGCAAACAGGAUUAGAUACCUGGGUAGUCCACGCCGUAAACGAUGAUAACUAGCUGUCCGGGGGACUUGGUCCUUGGGUGGCGCAGCUAACGAUUAAGUUAUCCGCCUGGGGAGUACGGCCGCAAGGUUAAAACUCAAAGGAAUUGACGGGGUC
rnacentral:rRNA from 1 species